UGGACGCUGAGCGAGACGCGCCCGGCAGCAGCAGCUACGGUGAGUAGGAAGCAGGUCUAUAUUCAGACCGGAUGCGCCUUAAAUAGUCCCCACGUCACUUCAGUGAGACGAGAUGUUUGAGACCAGCUGACAGCGCACUGUGAGGUGUGACUUAGAGAGUCGUGAAAAAUGCUGGAUAACACAUGCAGCAUCAUGAAACACAGAGCGGGGGGUAUUCAAAUCUAUAAUCUAAUUGAGCACAAAUAUGUUCAUUUCAUGUUCUUUCCGGUGAAUCAUCGAGUUACGACACUGUGAAGACAUAGCGAGUCUGCCGAUGAGACUCAGGGCUCUUGUGUGUCACUAAUGUGAAGAUAUGAAUUAAGAAUGCUUCCACUUGAAGUCAUAAUGUCUGCGUGUCCGACGGCUUUAUUAAUUUACAUCAUAAAUACACAGACCAGAACACACACACAGCUCACAUGCCGUUGAUACGCUGGAAUAAACGACGGUCCAGCGGCCUUUUCACUUAUUUUACGACUCAUUGGGAUAUUUGAUAAGUGAUGAAAUCUGAUGGAUUUGCUGUCAAAACAAACCACACAUGUUACAGUAGUUUGAUGACACCGAGUACAUUAAUAUGUGCAAUCUGGUCACCCGCGUUGCUGCUCCUACAGCCGAGGAGGACCUCCUUCAUGGUUGUCAGUGUGUGUUAAAUCAUCAAAUGAAUAAUUCUUCUCCCACCUUCGGUUGCAAGUCGUUGAUCUUCUGGCGGCAAUAAGCAUUGGUCAAAAGAGUUCCUGAGCCCAAACUGGACUGCACAUAAAUAGUGUCCCAGCGAGUGCCGGCAUGUUGUCCAUGUGACGGUCUGAAUGGAAGCCCAGCUGUCUGAGAGGAGCCUGAUGGACAGUCCGCUGCUGGAUCUUCACAUCUCGUCUCCGUCUCUGGAACUAAUCGAUCCCGACGCCGCGAUACGCACAGGCCGCACCUGCGUCCUCUCCGGCUACCAUUCACACACGUGGCAUUAUGCUCAAUCUCGCAUAUGAAGGAAGACAAAGUACAUUCUGUCGGUGUGGACGUAAAAAAAAGAGAAAGAAUGGAGCCAUUUCCUGAGAUGUGUAUCGGUCCCAGCUGCCCCAAAAAAACCACAAAACUGUGUGUUCAUAAGGUCUCGAGAGCUUGGCUGUUAAUAGCGCUCUGUAAAUCCUCUGGGGUGGCCAAGUUGGGGGAGACGGGGAUCUGGGUUGUGUCUCCGACUCCCUUUUCAUGGUAACAUUGUACACCUGCACAAGCACAUGGAACAAGAUCACACACAUGAAAGUGGUGGUACUGUAUACGCGGGAAUACAGUCCAAACAGGGACAUAAAACAGAGUUGUCCUUCGCCAACCAUUAGUCAGAGCCACUCGUGGGCUUCAGAGGACUCCUACAUGUCUUCCUGACACUUGGGAGAGCAUGGGCACUAAGACUCUUCAGUCGAGUUGUGGGAAUCACGUGCAUCAGCAACCUCCGUUUUUUAAAACAUGUAACAUGUCAGUAAGUCGGUGUGAAGGCUAAACACCAAAUAUUGAACGCUGCAGUGUUGAAGAGAAGAUUAAUGGCACGGAUGACAGGGAACCACCCAAUGUGUUCAUUUCCUGUGGUGUGCCAGAGCGCUCACUCUCAUACCCCCCCCCCCCCCCCCCACACACAUACUCAUAUUAAUGAUAAUAUCACAAUCUCAUUCCAGUUGGGUGCAUAUAUCUACAUGUAGAAGUAGUCCUGAAAGCCAAUGCUGUGGGACAGCGUCAUUUUGAUGAAUCUGUUGUCAUUUUACUGGAUUUUACUGGACGGCGUGUUAAGCUUUUAUCGUGACACUUUAAUGCCAAUAGUAUACAUGCAUAAUGUGUAUGAAUAUGGAAUUUCCUGCGUUUCCCUAAGUAUGUGAGGAGAAUCUUUAUUUCCUGUGUUACUACAUCAUUAUUACAGUGGAGAUUUAACAUGGCAAUGGGAGAUAGUUCAGUCCGGCUGAAAGUUGUGCACCAAUCAACAGAUCAUCAUUGUUAUGCUUUUAAGCCGUGGGAUUUUGAGUUCUGCAUAGACACUUUACAAAUAAAUCUGUCAAGAAAAGUAUAACUCACAAAGAAGUUGCUUCAUAUUAUAUCAUAUUUGGAUAAUUGUUUAAUAGGCUGACACAAUACCAGCAACAUGGGUUUCUCUUGACACCAUAACUUCAAUAUAGUGUGUGUCUUAUGACAGAGUACUCACCUAUGGAAUUCUGUCAGAAGAAAAAGCUCAAUAAUCCACCUCUGUGUGAACUUUGAAGAGUUCUAAUGAGCACUUUGUAUUUUAAAGAAUUAUCUUGUGUAACAUUGAGCCAGCAGUAGAUAUUGCAGAGCAACAUAAUGACAAAAAAAGACAAUUUCCUUCUUUGUGGACAUCAAACCACUUCAAUAAUAUGAAGCAGUCUCAUCGUAAUGCUUCUUCUAUCUCGUAAUAACAGUGGAUAUUGAGUCCAGAGGGGAAGACUUGUGAGCAUCACGCACAGCCGUCCGCUCACCAGGAGCUGGCUCAGGCGCUCCAGAUCUACGUGGUGAUCGUCCACCAGCACAUACCACAACGUGUCUGCUUGAUAACGGUGGGCAGAUCUGUCAGAUCAGAGCAUAAUUAGACAAAAUCUUUCCAACCGGUUUGCAGGACACAGGGAAUCCGGGGUUUAUUUAAAUGCCACGAGAUAAAGGUGAAUAUUUUAUCGUUAGAAAAGGAAGGAAAUCAAGUUUAGUGAGAGACUUUACAAACUCGUCACUUUUCUGACAAUCCCACUGGCAUUGAGGUCCAAAUAAACUCAUAAACUCAACAUGCCGAGUUCAUUUUAGGAAAGCUAGCAAAUUUGUCAUGGCUGCAGUUCACAUCAUGCAUAUCACAGCGAGACGUGAGUGUGUGAUGCGAGUCCACUGAAGAAGAUGUUGAACUCUUGUUGGACCCAUCAGAGACAGCCAUCACCUGCUUCUCCUUGGGACUGCAGUUCAUUUAAUAAUGAUCAGAUAUGAAUGAAUUAAUCUGAAAUGUCCCCACUGUCGGACUAAUAAAGGAAUAUCUAAUCUAA